GUUUGUCUCUGAGACUGAAUACACCCAAUCUCAUCUGAUCUGCAAAGCUAAGCAGGGUUGGGCCUGGUUAGUAUUUGGAUGGGAGACUACGUGGGAAUACCAGGUGCUGUAAGCU
rnacentral:rRNA from 1 species